CAUGGGGGGGGGGGUCCCUCAGCCCAGAUUGCGAGAGGGCGCAGGUCAGGCCAAGGGACCCCAUCGGUGCAUG
rnacentral:pre_miRNA from 1 species